rnacentral:rRNA from 1 species
UGUCGUCAGCUCGUGUUGUGAAAUGUUGGGUUAAGUCCCGCAACGAGCGCAACCCUUAUCCUUUGUUGCCAGCGGUCCGGCCGGGAACUCAAAGGAGACUGCCAGUGAUAAACUGGAGGAAGGUGGGGAUGACGUCAAGUCAUCAUGGCCCUUACGACCAGGGCUACACACGUGCUACAAUGGCGCAUACAAAGAGAAGCGACCUCGCGAGAGCAAGCGGACCUCAUAAAGUGCGUCGUAGUCCGGAUUGGAGUCUGCAACUCGACUCCAUGAAGUCGGAAUCGCUAGUAAUCGUGGAUCAGAAUGCCACGGUGAAUACGUUCCCGGGCCUUGUACACACCGCCCGUCACACCAUGGGAGUGGGUUGCAAAAGAAGUAGGUAGCUUAACCUUCGGGAGGGCGCUUACCACUUUGUGAUUCAUGACUGGGGUGAAGUCGUAACAAGGUAACCGUAGGGGAACCUGCGGUUGGAUCA